GCUGGGUGCGAUGGCUCAUGCCUGUAAUCCUAGCACUUUGGGAGGCUGAGGCAGGAGGAUCACUUGAGCCCAGGAGUUCAAGACUGACCUGGGCAACAUAGUAAGACUCUGUCUCUACAAAAAAUAAAAAAUUAGCUGGGCAUAGUGGCAUGUGCCUGUAGUCCCAGCUACUGGGGAGGCUAAGGUGAGAGAAUCACUUGAGCCCAGGAGGCCAAGGCUGUGGUGAACAGUGAUCAUGCCACUGCAUUCCAGCCUGGGCAACAGAGUGAGCCCCUGUCUCU
rnacentral:sRNA from 1 species